rnacentral:hammerhead_ribozyme from 1 species
AUCCAGUCGAAGAGUCCUAAAAGGGUUGAAACGCGCGUCCUGGAU